AAAGGGCAGUAGCGGAUGGGUGAGUAACGUGUGAGCAAUCUGCCUUUGACAGAGGAAUAACUCCGGGAAACCGUAGCUAAUACCUCAUAACACUACCGAGGGCAUCCAAGGAUAGUCAAAGAUUUAUCGGUCAAAGAUGAGCUCGCAUCCGAUUAGCUAGUUGGAAGGGUAACGGCCUACCAAGGCGACGAUCGGUAGCUGGACUGAGAGGUCGAACAGCCACAUUGGGACUGAGACACGGCCCAGACUCC
rnacentral:rRNA from 1 species